rnacentral:rRNA from 1 species
CCUACGGGAGGCUGCAGUGGGGAAUAUUGCACAAUGGGCGCAAGCCUGAUGCAGCCAUGCCGCGUGUGUGAAGAAGGCCUUCGGGUUGUAAAGCACUUUCAGCGGGGAGGAAGGCGGUGAGGUUAAUAACCUCAUCGAUUGACGUUACCCGCAGAAGAAGCACCGGCUAACUCCGUGCCAGCAGCCGCGGUAAUACGGAGGGUGCAAGCGUUAAUCGGAAUUACUGGGCGUAAAGCGCACGCAGGCGGUCUGUCAAGUCGGAUGUGAAAUCCCCGGGCUCAACCUGGGAACUGCAUUCGAAACUGGCAGGCUAGAGUCUUGUAGAGGGGGGUAGAAUUCCAGGUGUAGCGGUGAAAUGCGUAGAGAUCUGGAGGAAUACCGGUGGCGAAGGCGGCCCCCUGGACAAAGACUGACGCUCAGGUGCGAAAGCGUGGGGAGCAAACAGGAUUAGAUACCGAUAGUC